rnacentral:rRNA from 1 species
UGGGGAAUAUUGGGCAAUGGCCGAAAGGCUGACCCAGCGACGCCGCGUGUGGGAGGAAGCCCUUCGGGGUGUAAACCACUGUCGGGGGGGACGAACGGGUUGUGGGGGAAUACCCCGCAGCCGUGACGGUACCCCUAGAGGAAGCACCGGCUAACUCUGUGCCAGCAGCCGCGGUAAUACAGAGGGUGCGAGCGUUGUUCGGAAUCACUGGGCGUAAAGCGCGCGCAGGCGGGCGUGUAAGUCAGAAGUGAAAUUCCGGGGCUCAACCCCGGCGCUGCUUCUGAUACUGCACGUCUGGAGACCGGUAGAGGCUGGUGGAAUUCCCGGUGUAGCGGUGGAAUGCGUAGAGAUCGGGAAGAACACCCGUGGCGAAGGCGGCCAGCUGGGCCGGUUCUGACGCUGAGGCGCGAAAGCGUGGGGAGCAAACAGG